UUUAAUGAAUGAGUAAAGAAAGUGGUUUCUUGAGAUAGAAUCUACUCCUGGUACAGAUGCUGUAAA
rnacentral:pre_miRNA from 1 species